GGAUUAGAUACCCUGGUAGUCCACGCCGUAAACGAUGUGUGCUAGCCGUUGGGGUGCAUUAGCACUUCGGUGGCGCAGCUAACGCGUUAAGCCGACCGCCUGGGGACUACGAGCGCAAGCUUAAAACUCAAAGGAAUUGACGGGGGCCCGCACAAGCAGCGGAGCGUGUGGUUUAAUUCGAAGCAACGCGAAGAACCUUACCAGGGUUUGACAUGUAUGGAUUCGCUCUUGGAAACUUGAGUCACGCGGCUUGCCGUGGAACAUACACAGGUGCUGCAUGGCUGUCGUCAGCUCGUGUUG
rnacentral:rRNA from 1 species